AGUCGAACGAGAAUCUACUGAAAGAGUUUUCGGACAAUGGAUGUAGAGGAAAGUGGCGGACGGGUGAGUAACGCGUGAGGAACCUGCCUUGAAGAGGGGGACAACAGUUGGAAACGACUGCUAAUACCGCAUGACGCAUAGAGGUCGCAUGAUCUUUAUGCCAAAGAUUUAUCGCUUCAAGAUGGCCUCGCGUCUGAUUAGCUAGUUGGCGGGGUAACGGCCCACCAAGGCGACGAUCAGUAGCCGGACUGAGAGGUUGAACGGCCACAUUGGGACUGAGAUACGGCCCAGACUCCUACGGGAGGCAGCAGUGGGGAAUAUUGGGCAAUGGGCGCAAGCCUGACCCAGCAACGCCGCGUGAAGGAAGAAGGCUUUCGGGUUGUAAACUUCUUUUAAGAGGGAAGAGCAGAAGACGGUACCUCUAGAAUAAGCCACGGCUAACUACGUGCCAGCAGCCGCGGUAAUACGUAGGUGGCAAGCGUUGUCCGGAUUUACUGGGUGUAAAGGGCGUGCAGCCGGGUCUGCAAGUCAGAUGUGAAAUCCAUGGGCUCAACCCAUGAACUGCAUUUGAAACUGUAGAUCUUGAGUGUCGGAGGGGCAAUCGGAAUUCCUAGUGUAGCGGUGAAAUGCGUAGAUAUUAGGAGGAACACCAGUGGCGAAGGCGGAUUGCUGGACGAUAACUGACGGUGGGGCGCGAAAGUGUGGGGAGCAAACAGGAUUAGAUACCCUGG
rnacentral:rRNA from 1 species